rnacentral:rRNA from 1 species
GCUCGGUUAUCACGCCAGGAGUUCGAUUUUUGGCGCCCAGCUACUAGAAGUACCCUCUCAAAGGCCAUAGAUGCGACAAGUCCAGGGCCCGACUAGGUUUUGCCAAGGGAAAUCACCUGCACUUUUUGAUCCUGUUGUUACAAACGAGCAGCACCACGUAAACAAAAUCUGUCACUCCUGCUGGGUAAAGAAGCGUGGUCGAGAAUUUCUCAGCUCUGACUUUUAACGCAAUGGCCAUUGCGCAGUUCGUCACCCAUGACGGCACGAAUACCUAAGGGACAAGCCACUUCCAGCUCAGCGGGUAUCUUACUUCUGAAGUAGAAAGCGCUUUCUCGUAUGCUGGCUUAAAUAUACUUGCCCAACUAAUUGAACCAAUCAUUCCCAUGGUGCUAACGGGCAACGGGGAAUCAGGGUUCGACUCUGGAUAGGGAGCCUGAGAAACGGCUACCACUUCCAAGGAAGGCAGCAGGCACGCAACUUACUCAAUCCCUGCACGGGAAGGUAGUGACGAAAAAUACGCAUACGAGACCCACUGGAGGUUCUGUAAUUCGAAUGAGUACAAGUUAAAUCGUUUAACGAGGAUCUACUUGAGAGCAAGUCUGUUGCUAACAGCCGCGGUAACUCUAGCUCCUGAAGCGUAUAAUAAAGUUGCUGCAGUUAGAGGGUCAUAUUUGGAUCAGGGUUGCAUGGUUACAAACCGUUGCUCUCGGGUCUGGCCUGGUUACUGCCGGGUUGAGCUUGCAAAUCGAUCUCGUGGUUGUGCUUACUUUCUGCUGUGUCUGUUUGCAGGUGCCAGCGUGACUGGUGGGCUUUCCGGCUAGUCUUCUGGCAUGCAUUUUGGUGCCUUUAAUUGGGUGUUACAGGUGAACAGCUCGUUUAAUUUGAACAGAUUUGAGUGCUCAAAGCAGGCCUUUGUGCCUGAAAGUUCUUGCACGGAAUAAUGAAAUAGGACUUUGGUUCUAUUUUGUUGGUUUUCGAAUCCAAAGUAAUGGUUGGGAGGAACAGAUGGAGGCAUUUGUAUGGCGGCCUUAGAGAUGAAACUCUUGGAUCGCCGCCGGCGAAAGCAUUUGCCAAGGAUGUUUUCACCGAUCUUGAGCUAAGGUCAGGGGUUUAAAGACGAUCAUAUACCGUCCUAGUUCUGACCAUAAGCGAUGUCAACUGACGAUCUGUGGUGGGUCUGUAUGCGUCGCCUCGGACAGUCCCCGGGAAACCCUGAAAUCUUUGGGCUCGGGGGAAGUAUGGUUGCAAAGAUGAAACUCAAAGGAAUUGUCGGAGGGGCACCAACAGGAGCGGAGCCGGCGGCCUUAUUCGACUCAACACGGGAAAACUCACCCGGCCCGGACACUGUGCUGAUUGACAGAUUAAUAGUUCUUUCAUGAUUCGGUGUUUGGUGGAGCAUAGCCUUUCUCAGUCGGUGGAGCAGUUUGUCUGAUCAAUUCCGAUAACGAACGAGACUCUGGCCUGAUAAGUAGUAAACCUGUCUUCUGUGCUCGUGCAGGUUGCAUUGUCCGUUACCUCAUUGUGGAGUAGUGGUGACGUUGAUCGGUGGGUGCGGCCCAGGUACUUACAUUUAAAAGGGACAAGCGGUAUUCAAUCGCACGAAAUUGAGCGAUAACAUGUCUGUAAUACCUUUAGAUGUCCAGAUCCUCACGUGCGCUACAAUGAAGGAUUCAGCGAGUUUGGAAUGCUGGCCUGAGCAGGUUGGGUGAACUGUAUCCUAACCGUCGUGACUGGAUCGGGGCUUGCAAUUGUUUCCCGUGAACGAGGAAUUCCUGUUAAGUGAAAGUCAUAAGCUUGCGCUGAUUACGUCCCUGCACUUUGUACACACCGCCCGCCACUACCACCGAUGGAAUGGUUUAGCAAGGCCCUCGGAUUGGUGCCAUUGUAGUGGCUUCAGCCGCUCGCCCGAUGCUGAGAAGAAGACCAAACUUGAUCAUUCAGAGGAAGCAAAAGUCGUAACAAGGUUUCUGUAGGCGAACCUGUGGAAG